CUGCCCGACGCGCUGCAGUGGCUGCAGGAUGAGCGGGCCCACAUGAAGGUGCAGGCCAUGCAGCUGCUGCAGGACAUCGCGGCUCAGUGCCCCGCCAGCAUGCGCAGCGUGUUCAGCCAGCUGGGAAAACAGCUGCUGGGCUUCUUCUAUGAGGUGAGGCGCGUGGGGCAGCAGGGAGCAGCCACCCCCCCCUCGGCACCGUGCAUCGCUCAGCACCCCUCUGUCUGUGCCCCCCAGGACAACGUCGAGAUGCGCUGGCGCUCCAUGGAAGUCUUUGCGCUGCUCCUGACGGCACCGGGCAAGAGGCAGCUGCUGCCGCAGGCGGAGAGCAGUCUGCUGCCACUCUUCUUCAGCAUGAAUGAGGACUUCCCCAGAGUGGCCCAGGCCGCUCAGAAUGCCCUCACCCACGCCGCCAAGCUCCUGGGCUGGAAGCAGCUGCAACACCUGGCCAGCAAGGGGGACAUGUCGAGGAUUGCUGACUGCCUGCUUCAGAAGGGGGGCAGCGCCAUGGAGCGCUACCUACAGGACAGCGUGCAGCACCUGAACAGCCCCAAGCCGCACGUGCGGGAGGCGGCCGUGCGCUUCCUGGGGCUCCUGGCUCGGCGGCUGAAGAAGAAGAACCGAGGGCAGAUGCCGGACAUCCGCACAGCCCUGCAGAGCGCCGAGAAGGACAGCUGGCCGGCCGUGCGCUGCCUGGCGCAGCAGACGCUGCUGAUCCUCGGCUAGCUGGAAGGCGCGCCGCCCACCACGGAGAGCCCAAAUAAAGGAGCCGUUGCGUUGGAGCUGCUCCGUGUC
rnacentral:lncRNA from 1 species